rnacentral:lncRNA from 1 species
CUGGGAAUUGUCAACAAAGGGACGAGAGACUCGCAACUCCGCACCGCACCACGCGCCCAGCAUCCAGCCGGCCCCGAGGGCGCUCCGGCCCGCCUGGAGACCCCUGCCCAGGCUGGAUCCCGGCGCGGGGGUCCAGUGAGGGUCAUAGGCAAAUGCUCCAAGAUUUAAGUUCCGCGGAAACCAGCGACAAAGCCAUUGAAGGAGGCGGUGAGAAUGUGGCCAGUAUACACACGGAGUUUCUCUGGCAAAGAAAGUCAGUGAUGGCAUCGCGACACACAGA